GGUGAGAUGGCUGAAUUUAUAGGCGAUAGACUGUAAAUCUAUUCAUGAGGAUAUCCUCUCUCACCA
rnacentral:tRNA from 1 species